CGCUGGCGGCAUGCUUUACACAUGCAAGUCGGACGGCAGCACAGAGAAGCUUGCUUCUUGGGUGGCGAGUGGCGAACGGGUGAGUAAUAUAUCGGAACGUACCGAGUAAUGGGGGAUAACUAAUCGAAAGAUUAGCUAAUACCGCAUAUUCUCUGAGGAGGAAAGCAGGGGACCUUCGGGCCUUGCGUUAUUCGAGCGGCCGAUAUCUGAUUAGCUAGUUGGUGGGGUAAAGGCCUACCAAGGCGACGAUCAGUAGCGGGUCUGAGAGGAUGAUCCGCCACACUGGGACUGAGACACGGCCGAGACUCCUACGGGAGGCAGCAGUGGGGAAUUUUGGACAAUGGGCGCAAGCCUGAUCCAGCCAUGCCGCGUGUCUGAAGAAGGCCUUCGGGUUGUAAAGGACUUUUGUCAGGGAAGAAAAGGACAGGGUUAAUACCCC
rnacentral:rRNA from 1 species